rnacentral:rRNA from 1 species
AGUGAACGCUGGCGGUAGGCCUAACACAUGCAAGUCGAACGGCAGCACAGUAAGAGCUUGCUCUUACGGGUGGCGAGUGGCGGACGGGUGAGGAAUACAUCGGAAUCUACUUUUUCGUGGGGGAUAACGUAGGGAAACUUACGCUAAUACCGCAUACGACCUACGGGUGAAAGCAGGGGAUCUUCGGACCUUGCGCGAUUGAAUGAGCCGAUGUCGGAUUAGCUAGUUGUCGGGGUAAAGGCCCACCAAGGCGACGAUCCGUAGCUGGUCUGAGAGGAUGAUCAGCCACACUGGAACUGAGACACGGUCCAGACUCCUACGGGAGGCAGCAGUGGGGAAUAUUGGACAAAGGGCGCAAGCCUGAUCCAGCCAUACCGCGUAGGUGAAGAAGGCCUUCGGGUUGUAAAGCCCUUUUGUUGGGAAAGAAAAGCAGCAGGUUAAUACCCCGCUGUUCUGACGGUACCCAAAGAAUAAGCACCGGCUAACUUCGUG